UAGAUGCGAGAGUAGAGCAUAUCAAUAAGCGGAGGAAAAGAAACUAACAAGGAUUCCCCUAGUAACGGCGAGUGAAGCGGGAAGAGCUCAAAUUUGAAAUCUUCAAGGGUUUCCCUUGACGAAUUGUAGUUUAAAGAAGUGUUUUCUGUUAGAGAGGUGGUAAAAGUUCUUUGGAAUAGGACAUCAUAGAGGGUGAGAAUCCCGUAUUUGAUCCGUUACUUUCCUAACUGUGUGAUACACUUUCAAAGAGUCGGAUUGUUUGGGAAUGCAGUCCAAAAUGGGUGGUAAAUCUCAUCUAAAGCUAAAUAUUGGCGAGAGACCGAUAGCGAACAAGUACCGUGAGGGAAAGAUGAAAAGAACUUUGAAAAGAGAGUUAAACAGUACGUGAAAUUGUCAAAAGGGAAGCGUUUGACACCAGUGUUGUUUUUCCGAAAAUCAAUUACGAAUGGUUUUAGUUUUUAAGAAGUUAUGACUUCAUCGGCUUGCUCCUUUCUUUAUGAAACUUUCUUAAUGCACUUUUCGGUUAACAAGUCAUACAUCAAUUUCUUUUGUUGUAAAAGGGUAUGAGGAAGGUGGCUUUCUUUUCGGAGAAAGUGUUUAUAGCCUUGUACCUCUGCAAUCGGAGAGAUUGAGGUCUGCAGCGUAGAUCCUUCGGGGUUAGAUACAUUUGUGCUAAGUUAUAGCUUUUCAUAGACAACUUGUUGACUAUGUUUAGUCUUGUAGCUUACUCGCUUACGCUAUUUUACCUACGCUUAGGAUGUUGACGAGACUGUCGAUCUC
rnacentral:rRNA from 1 species